CAGCCGCCACGGUAAUACGUAGGGUGCAAGCGUUAAUCGGAAUUACUGGGCGUAAAGCGUGCGCAGGCGGUUUGUUAAGACAGAUGUGAAAUCCCCGGGCACAACCUGGGAACUGCAUUUGUGACUGGCAAGCUAGAGUGUGGCAGAGGGGGGUGGAAUUCCACGUGUAGCAGUGAAAUGCGUGGAUAUGCGGAGGAACACCGAUGGCGAAGGCAGCCCCCUGGGCCAACACUGACGCUCAUGCACGAAAGCGUGGGGAGCAAACAGGAUUAGAUACCCGGGUAGUCCCUGUCUCUUAUAC
rnacentral:rRNA from 1 species